rnacentral:rRNA from 1 species
UACGGAGGAUGCAAGCGUUAUCCGGAAUGAUUGGGCGUAAAGCGUCCGCAGGUGGCUAUGUAAGUCUGCUGUUAAAGAGCAAGGCUCAACCUUGUAAAGGCAGUGGAAACUACAUGGCUAGAGUGCGUUCGGGGCAGAGGGAAUUCCUGGUGUAGCGGUGAAAUGCGUAGAGAUCAGGAGGAACACCGGUGGCGAAAGCGCUCUGCUAGGCCGCAACUGACACUGAGGGACGAAAGCUAGGGGAGCGAAUGGG